GUAUGAAUUAAGUUCUGAAUGUGUAAAUGCAGAUUAAAGGAAAAUCACUCAGUGGCAAAAAAUAUCAGUGGCAAUUCAGUGUCAGGGUUAUUCACUAAGGGGAUUUUUGACUUAACUCCAGAUACUAAAAACUGAAAUUUGAAAUGCAAAAUUGAUUCAGAGAAAUUCUCACAAAUGUUUUAAACCCAAAUGUCAGUAUGCUACAAAGUGCGAAUUAUUGGGAAUUUCACAUUUAAGACAAUAUAG